UACGUAGGGCGCAAGCGUUAUCCGGAAUUAUUGGGCGUAAAGGGUGCGUAGGCGGUUGUUUAAGUCUGUCGUGAAAUCCCCGGGCUCAACCUGGGAAUGGCGAUGGAUACUGGGCAGCUAGAGUGUGUCAGAGGAUGGUGGAAUUCCCGGUGUAGCGGUGAAAUGCGUAGAGAUCGGGAGGAACAUCAGUGGCGAAGGCGGCCAUCUGGGACAACACUGACGCUGAAGCACGAAAGCGCGGGGAGCAAACAGG
rnacentral:rRNA from 1 species